rnacentral:tRNA from 1 species
CAAAAUGUAGCUUAAUAAAAGCCCCCCGCUUACACCGGGAAGAUAUCCGUGCAACCCAGAUCAUUUUGA